rnacentral:lncRNA from 1 species
UUGGCUAACUGAUGUUAUUGUUUACUCCAUGCAAUAUGUCUUGGUACAACACGACCAAUGAAGUGAGCGAUUAGAAGGUUAAAGAGGGUCUUUAUCCUCGUCGUAUCCUUUAUAUGGAAAUCCGGGGCCAGGGGGUCAUUCCCUUGACUCGUACUGAUGAGAAGUUUUUUACUCCACGAGAAAUUGAACAAAAGCUGCCGAAUUGGCCUAUUUCUUGCAUGUACCAAUUGAAGUAUUUUGAGUACCAAUUGCAAUUUUUUGCAAUUGUAAGGGGAUUUUCGAGUAUUUAUCUAAAGUAAAGGAAGGAACAAACGAGGAUAAGAGAAAAUUGCUUCGAAUUUGUUUUGUCCAAGUGAGAUAUAUGGCAUACUAUUCUUCCAUUUUUAUACGAAAGGCCUUUUUUUAUUUCUCUAUUCUACUCCAUUUAGAUCUAAGAAAGAACCCAAUACAAUGAAAUUCCACUAGUAUACAAAAAGAGAAAUAGAUACAAACACAAGGUCUCAAACCUUAUUAUAGAAUUUUUGCUUCAAAGAAAAGAAAUAUCAUAUAUAUUCAGCUUACAGAUCAAAAAUGAAAAAAGUAAGCAUUGCCUUCUUUCUUAUAUCUUGUAUUUAUCGUACUUUUGCCCUGGGGAGUCUCUUUCACUUUUAACAAAUGUCUGGAACUUUGGAUUAAGAAUUGGUGGAAUACCAAGCAAUCUGAAACUUUCUUAACUGAUAUUCAAGAGAAAAGGAUUCUAGAAGGAUUCAUAGAAUUAGAGGAACUUUUUCUCUUGGACGAAAUGAUAAAAGAGAAACCGAAGACACAUGUACAAAAACUUCCUAUAGGAAUACACAAGGAAAUAAUACAAUUGGCCAAAAUAGAUAAUGAGGAUCAUCUCCAUAUCAUUUUGCAUUUCUCAACAAAUAUAAUCUGUUUGGCUAUUCUAAGUGGUUCUUUUUUUCUGUGUAAAGAAGAACUUGUCAUUUUGAAUUCUUGGGUUCAGGAAUUUUUCUAUAACUUAAAUGAUUCAAUAAAAGCUUUUUUUUAUUCUUUUAGUUACUGAUUUUUUGUUGGAUUUCACUCUACCCGCGGUUGGGAACUACUAAUUCGUUGGGUCUACAACAAUCUUGGAUGGGCUCCUAACGAGCUAAUUUUCAUUGUUUUUGUUUGUAGUUUUCCUGUGAUUCUAGACACGUGUUUGAAAUUUUGGGUCUUUUUUUGUUUAAACCGUCUAUCUCCUUCACUUGUAGUCAUUUAUCAUUCAAUUAGUGAAGCAUAAACUCACUCAUUUAAUUUCCUAAUAUUAAUCAAAUUAGCAUAUUUCUUUUCUUCCUUUAGAAAUAGAAAGAAAGUCCUUUUCCUUUUUAACAAAAUUCUUUCUAUUUCUACCUGCUCAAGGUAUUCAUCAUUCUAAUACAACUAUUACAGUAGAAUGACAACAUACUCAUGUAUAGGGAACUAGAUUAGCUUAGCUACCUAUCUAAUUUAUUGUAGAAAUUCCGGGAUCCGCGAUUGGACAUGGAAAAUAGAAAAACUUUUUCUUGGUUAAAGGAACAGAUGAUUCCAUCAAUUUCUGUAUCGAUCAUGAUAUACGUAAUAACUCGCACAUCUAUUUCAAACGCAUAUCCCAUUUUUGCGCAGCAGGGUUAUGAAAACCCGCGGGAAGCAACUGGACGAAUUGUAUGUGCCAAUUGCCAUUUAGAUAAUAAGCCUGUGGAUAUUGAAGUUCCCCAAGCAGUGCUUCCUGAUACUGUAUUUGAAGCAGUUCUUCGAAUUCCUUAUGAUAUACAGCUGAAACAAGUUCUUGCUAAUGGUAAAAAGGGAGGGUUGAAUGUGGGUGCUGUUCUUAUUUUGCCCGAGGGAUUCGAAUUAGCGCCGCCCGACCGUAUUUCUCCUGAGUUGAAAGAAAAGAUAGGAAAUCUCUCUUUUCAGAGUUAUCAUCCCAAUAAAAAAUAUUCUUGUGAUAGGCCCUGUUCCCAGUAAGAAAUAUAGUGAAAUUGUCUUUCCCAUUCUUUCCCCCGAUCCCGCUACAAAAAAUGACGUUCAUUUCUUAAAAUAUCCCAUAUAUGUAGGGGGAAACCGAGGAAGGGGACAGAUCUAUCCAGACGGUAGCAAGAGUAACAAUACGGUCUAUAAUGCUACGUCAACGGGUAUAGUAAAAAAAUACUACGUAAAGAAAAGGGGGAUAUGAAAUAUCCAUAGUGGAUGCAUCGGAUGGACGCCAAGUGAUUGAUAUUAUACCUCCCGGGCCAGAACUUCUUGUUUCAGAGGGGGAAUCAAUCAAGCUUGAUCAACCAUUAACAAGCAAUCCUAAUGUAGGAGGGUUUGGUCAGGGGGAUGCUGAAAUAGUGCUUUAGGAUCCAUUGCGCGUCCAAGGCCUUUUGUUUUUCUUCGCAUCUGUUAUUUUGGCACAAGUUUUUUUGGUUCUAAAAAAGAAACAGUUUGAAAAGGUUCAAUUGUACGAAAUGAAUUUCUAGAUCCUGGGAUUUCUUACCAUCAAGUGAGAAAAAGCCUCGAUUUCUAGAAUUCCUUAUUUCUAUCUCAUGCAAAAGAAGAGGAUCCAAGGCAAAGACGAGAACAAUAAAAGGAACAAGUCCUUUUAGGAGGAAUUGUGGGUCUUCUUAAUGUAACACCCCAGGUGUUACUAGGGCCCUAACUCCCUACUUGUACCCAUGACUUGUUAUCACCUGUGUUAAGUGGAGGAGAGGGAGCCCCAAAACCUUGGAAACCAUGGAUUAACUAAGAAUGUAAAUGACAAAAGCUUCACCCAAACAUUUUGAGCAAUUGUCACCUUGGGCAAAGGAGGCUAAACCCUAGACCCCUUAAAGCACUAGACUUCCAAGCAAGGGAUUAGUGGCCAAGCUAAUCAAAUGGCAAAUUCUUGUUUCUAAUCCUUAACCAAGAUUUAAGUACACUAAUGUAUCUACAAAAACAGUAAAGGAACCUUUGCGAAAAGGCCCCUUAAAGGCCCCUAAUCCAUUCCUUAAGUAGAAAGCACACUAGAGCUCUCUAAUCUUCUCUAAGUCAAAAAUAAACCCUAGUUUAAAGGUCAGACGUGUUCACUUAGUAAAUGGCGCCAAAACCACUUGGUCUGAAUACCAAAAAGGAGCCAAACUACCUAAGGAACCCACUGGAAAAAUUUGAACCUGAGCCAAAUUCGUUUGACACUAUUUGACACCACUUUUGUCUCGGGGUGAACUGUGAGACAACCCAGAUUUGGCGUCCGCAUAUCUUCCUAGCUAGGGCAUAUCUCCCAUUGGAACUCAUAUACAAGAGAUAGCCCUAGGUGCCAGGAAGAGUUCUGCGCAGGAUUUUUGCCAAGAUUCGCACGUUUGCGAUCUCAGCAAGCGUUUGAACAAGGGCAGAAACACACCUCCACGUGUUCGACGCACCCUGACCUCGCUAGAGCACGCCCGACGCCCGACCCCGUGUGCCCCGCGCUGCGCCAAGCCAAGCCUGUACCACUGCCCACGCCCGCGCCUAUAAAGCCAGCCGAGGCUUCAACCGUAUGCCCCCGCUCGCUCUCGACCUCGCCGGAGCGCAAGAUCACCGGCGUUUGCCCUACAAACGGCGUGCGAGCGGCCGCCCGAGCACCCACCACCGUAGAUCGGCCAACUGAGCCCUUUCCAGCCCCUUCCAACCCUCGAAAGAGACUCUGCGUGCCUCGAUGAAGCUCCCCGAGCGAGGAAUCGAGCUCGGCCUCGCCGGAGACACUGAAUCAAGGUCACCGGACUUCACCCGACCGCUGACGAGCGUAAACUGAGCUCCACGGUGAGCCUUUCUUCAAUUCCUUGCACGGGUAGACUCCUUAGCACCUCGUGAAGCUUCCCGUGCCCUUGGAUUGAACUAUAUCAUCGUGGAUAGGCCGGAGCAUCCGCCGCCGACGAGCUCGCCCGCUUGCGCACGUGGACCGGCCGAUUCCGGCCAUCGUCGUCGUCGAGCCGUACCUCGUCGUGACCGCAAGGACUUCCCGGAGCCAACCCCAUCCUUCGCCGGACCUCCCUCACCGCUGGUAAGCCGCGCCGCCCUAUUUAAUUCCGCGGGUACUAUUCAAAAGGGGGGAGGGACCUCGGGGAAGAAGGAAAAGAAAUCAGGGGGGUUUUUGAAUGGUUAGAGACUCAGAUGAAUAGUUGUGCAGGGGUAUAAGUUAAAGAGUUGGUUUAAGAAAAGCCCAGGGUCCUCGGUGUAAACUGGUUUUCCAGAAAACCUUUUAAACAUUUCUCAUUUAAAUACAAAUAGAACUUGUAAAAUUCAUAACUUCAAUUUUAUUCAACCAAAAUUUAGUCAAACCAAUUUUGCCAGGUUCUAAAUAAUGUGAACUACUUAGGAAAAAUACAAAACCCCCAAGUGUUGCAAAAGAAUUUAAAGUUUUGAAUUAAAUAGUGUUCUGGCCAAAAGCUAAAUAAAAGAGGGAAAAAUAGUUACACUGUUAGACUGGGGUUAAGAAAAAUCAGAGAAGUACUUAAUCACUCCCUAAUCUGUUUAAAAAUAGUAAACCCCUCAGUACACUAAAUUAAGGUAGGGUUUACCAUUUAAAUCAUUUUUAGCCCACAGUUAAAGAAAAUAGAAAAGGUAGUUUAAAAUAAGAACCAGGGGGUAACCAUAUUUUUGCUAGCUCACUUAUUUAGUAUAGUUCACUGGAAAAUUUUGUUAGACCCUCUGUUAGUACAAAAUAAAUGCAUUACCUUUUAUUGUAUGAAAACAAUGAAAACUUAGAAAAAUCUUAGAAAAAUAAUCUUGAGGAGAAAACACCCCAAACCUUGAGAUAACUAAUAUUUUAUUAUUAUGAAUAUAGGAAAAAUAUGAGUUCUGUUGUUUGAUAUUUUUCAAAUAACAAGUUAGUUAUAAGUACUAUUUUUGCCUCAAAGGUGAAAGUAUAAGACCCUUAAGUUGUCGGGGACCAUAAUUAGGGGUACCCUAAUUCUCAGCUGGUAACCCCCAUCAGCAUAAAGCUGCUAAGGCCUGAUGGGUGCGAUUAAGUCAGGGAUCGGUCCAUUCGAGCGACUCGAUCACGCCUCGCCCGAGCCUAGCCUCGGACAAGGGCAGCCGACCCCGGAGGAUUUCCGUCUCGCUCGAGACCCCCCUCCAACGGCGAACAUAUUUCCGGCUCACCCGAGGCCCUGCCUUCGCUAAGAAGCAACCCUGACUAAAUCGCCGCACCGACCGACCAAGUCGCAGGAGCAUUUAAUGCAAAGGUGGCCUGACACCUUUAUCCUGACGCGCCCCCCCGGCAGAGCCGAAGUGACCGCCGUCACUUCGCCGCUCCACUGACCGGCCUGAUAGAAGGACAGCGCCGCCUGUGCCACUCCGACUGCAGUGCCACUUGACAGAGUAAGACUGACAGGUAGUCAGGCCCUGCCAAAGGCACCAUAGGAAGCUCCGCUUCGCCCGACCCAGUGCUUGGACUCGGGCUAGGUCCCGGAAGACGGCGAACUCCGCUCCGCCCGACCCAGGGCUCGGACUCGGGCUAAGUCCCGGAAGACGGCGAACUCCGCUCCGCCCGACCCAGGGCUCGGACUCAGGCUAAGUCCCGGAAGACGGCGAACCCCGCUCCGCCCAACCCAGGGCUCGGACUCGGGCUAAGUCCCGGAAGACGGCGAACUCCGCUCCGCCUGACCCAGGGCUCGGACUCGGGCUAAGUCCCGGAAGACGGCGAACUCCGCUCCGCCCGACCCAGGGCUCGGACUCGGGCUCAGCCCCAGAAGACGACGAACUCCGCUUCGCCCGACCCCAGGGCUCGGACUCCGCCCUGGCCUCUGUCGACGACCUCCGCCUUGCCCGAUCCAGGGGCUCGGACUCGGCCUCGGCCAUGGAAGACAGACUCGACCUCGGCUUCGGAGGAGCCUCCACAUCGCCCAACCUAAGGCGCAGGCCAGCCACGUCAACAGGAGGCGCCAUCAUCACCCUACCCCGAGCUGACUCGGGCCGCAGGGAACAAGACCGAUGUCCCAUCUGGCUAGCUCCGCCAGAUAGGCAAUGAUGGCGCCCCGCAUACUCUGUGACGACGGUGGCUCUCAGCCCCCUUACGGAAGCAAGAGGACGUCAGCAAGGACCCAACCGCUCCGACAGCUGUCCCUCCGCCAGGCUCCAUCGCUCCUCCGACGGCCACGACAUCACACCAGCUGGGUGCCAAAAUCUCUCCGGCUGCCACAUCGGCAUGUACUUAGGGCGCUAGCUCUCCCCCGCUAGACACGUAGCACUCUGCUACACCCCCCAUUGUACACCUGGAUCCUCUCCUUACGCCUAUAAAAGGAAGGACCAGGGCCCUCUUAGAGAGGGUUGGCCGCGCGGGGACGAGGACGAGACAGGCGCUCUCUUGGGGCCGCUCGCUUCCCUCUCCCGCGUGGACGCUUGUAACUCCCUACUGCAAGCGCACCCGACCUGGGCACGGGACGAACACGAAGGCCGCGGGAUUCCCACCUCUCUCACGCCGGUCUCCGGCCGCCUCGCUUCUCCCCCCUUCACGCUCGCCCUCGCGCUCGACCCAUCUGGGCUGGGGCACACGGCGACACUCACUCGUCGGCCCAAGGGACCCCCCGGUCUCGAAACGCCGACAUAAGUAUACCCAAAAGAAACCCUAGAGUCCCACUAAGCUUGAUACUAUUUUGCCUUUACAAUUUAUCAUGUCAUUAAUAAGCAUAUAUCUUAUUCAUUGCAUUCGAUAGACUGUAAUCUCGCUGACGGGGAGUACAUCCUCGUUCCGGGGCAAGGAGUUGCUCAGGAGGUAGUCCAAGAGCCAGCACCAAAGCCUGCCAUCGAGGAUCUGCCUGCCCCAGCUUUGGAAGGCAAGCCUCGGUUUUAUGCAUAACCUACUUAUUAUGCUAUUUUACUACACUUAUUGUUUGUAGGAUUGUAAUGUGCACUUAAGUGUAGGAGUUGUGUGGAACCUUAGUUGCAUGAACCCAGGCUUUUCCCUUGUGAUGGAUACUAGUAUGCUAGGUCGAGUAGUUGCUUUACUAAUUAGGGAUCUCGGUAGAAGUCGAGUGAUUUUCUAGCACUCGCGCGAGGUCAGGAAUUGGUUGUAUCCACUUUAAUAACGGAAUAAUGAUGGUCUGUGGACACGGAUCCAUGGGGAUGCGUUGUCUACGAGACGAGAAAUUGGAAUAAGGAUUAACGUGCGGAUACCUGUGUCAAGCAUUUGAACGUACUAAACACAUGCUGAGAAAUAUGGUAAAUCGGUAAGCCUAGUACCUGAGUGAACCUGCCCGCAGAUUGCCCUCCUCACGUGACCUGAGACGUGGUCUCCCAUUCCGGUUAUGGUGGGUACAAGUGCGGUCACUACACGACGGCAGUCGGGAUCAGUGAGGCAUUGUAAGCCAAGGCAGUGAGCCCCUCUCUUCUGGCGGCGGAAUCGACGACGUCUUCCCCGCGUGGUGGAAGAACAACCUCCGAGCUCGUCCCGCUUUCUUCCCCGCCGACGGAGGGGAAGGCAGGGCAGCCAAGGCCAAGCAGAAGGCAGCGCCUCGUCGGCUGUCGAGCAAGUCGAUGGCACCGGCACCCCAACGAGGGGCGCACCGGGUAUCGACUUCGCGCCUGAGACGAAGACGAGCGCCGUCUCCCCGCGACACGCCAAUCCCGAGCAAGCGAACGACGCCAGCGCGCUCGCGGAGAGCUUGCUGGAUGUCACCCUCGUACCUGAGAUGAAGGUGCAGUCAGUCCUCGACGUGACUUCAUCGCCGCUCGUCGACCAAAAGGUACCGACCGAUUCCCAUCCCACGUCAUUUGGAUUCAGCCUCAACCCGCCUAGCGACCUCGCUUUGGCGAACGCUCUCGUAGAGGCGAGUCCAAACCCUCUGGGGUUUCGCAUGCAGUCGCCUUGGGACCGGCUGACGGACGUCUUGACCUACGGGCCCUCUGGGUCCGAGGAAGACGACGAGCCCAGCAUCUGUUGGGAUUUCUCUGGACUUGGCAACCCCAGUGCCAUGCGGGACUUCAUGACCGCAUGUGACUACUGCCUCUCCGACUGUUCCGACGGUAGCCGCAGCCUCGACGACGAGGACUGCGGCCCAAGCCGCGAAUAUUUCCACGUCGAUCUAGGGGGUCCCUCCGAAGGCAAUCAUCUCGACAUGCCGGAGGAUGGUGAUCUCCCUAGGCCGGUGCCCCGCGUUGACAUCCCACGGGAGCUAGCUGUGGUCCCCGUUCAGGCGGGGGGCCAUGACCCACAGCUCGAGCAAAUCCGCGGGGUGCAGGCCAGGCUCGAUGAGGGAACAGGAGCGCUUGAGCCGAUCCGCCGGGACGUCGGGCAGGCAUGGGCGGGCCAACCCCCGGCCGGAGAAAUACGUCAUCUGCCCCAGGGUUUCCAGCGCCGCGUCGCCGACGACGCCGGGGUCAGGCCGCCACCCGCAUCUAGUGGCGUCGGCCAGAACCUGGCUGCAGCAGCGAUGCUUCUCCGCGCGAUGCCGGAGCCAUCCACCACCGAGGUUCGGCGAAUCCAGGGAGAGCUCAAGAAUCUCCUGGAAGGCGCCGCGGUCCGACGGGCCGAGAGCUCUACCUCCCGAAGGCAGGGAUACCCGUCGGAACCUCAUGCCGCGACUUCCCGAUUCAUGCGGGAAGCCUCGGUCUACACCGGGCGCACGCGCAACACCGUGCCUGCGGCCCCGGGCCACCUCGGCAACGAGCACCAUCAUCGCGACCGUCGGGCCCACCUCGACGAGAGGGUGCGCCGAGGCUACCACCCCAGGCAUGGGGGACGCUACGACAGCGGGGAGGAUCGGAGUCCCUCGCCCGAACCGCCCGGUCCGCAGGCCUUCAGCCGGGCCAUCCGACGGGCACCGUUCCCGACCCGGUUCCGACCCCCGACUUAUAUCACAAAGUACUCGGGGGAGACAAGACCGGAACUGUGGCUCGCGGACUACCGUCUGGCCUGCCAACUGGGUGGAACGGACGACGACAACCUCAUCAUCCGCAACCUCCCCCCGUUCCUCUCCGACACCGCUCGCGCCUGGUUGGAGCACCUGCCUCUAGGGCAGAUCUCCAACUGGGACGACCUAGUCCAAGCCUUCGCCGGCAAUUUCCAGGGCACGUACGUGCGCCCUGGGAAUUCCUGGGAUCUUCGAAGCUGCCGGCAGCAGCCGGGAGAGUCUCUCCGAGACUACAUCCGGCGAUUCUCGAAGCAGCGCACCGAGCUGCCCAACAUCACCGACUCGGAUGUCAUCGGCGCGUUCCUCGCCGGCACCACCUGCCGCGACCUGGUGAGCAAGUUGGGUCGCAAGACCCCCACCAGGGCGAGCGAGCUGAUGGACAUCGCCACCAAGUUCGCCUCCGGCCAGGAGGCGGUCGAGGCUAUCUUCCGAAAGGACAAGCAGCCCCAGGGCCACCCAUCGGAAGAUGCUCCCGAGGCGUCUACUCAGCACGGCGCCAAGAAGAAAGGCAAGAAGAAGUCGCAAGCGAAACGCGACGCUGCCAACGCGGACCUUGUCGCCGCCGCCGAGUACAAGAACCCUCGGAAACCCCCCGGAGGUGCCAACCUCUUCGACAAGAUGCUCAAGGAGCCGUGCCCCUAUCACCAGGGGCCCGUCAAGCACACCCUUGAGGAGUGCGUCAUGCUUCGGCGCCACUUCCACAGGGCCGGGCCACCCGCGGAGGGUGGCAGGGCCCGCGACGACGACAAGAAGGAAGAUCACCAAGUAGGAGAGU